CGCAGUGUUAUCAUUUAGACACUUAAGCAAUUGCCCCAACUGUAAUUGCAGAGUUGCUGUCAUACGUCUAAUUAGGCAACUGAAACAAAUUUAUCACUAGAAAUCGUGUUAUGUUUCUUUAACAGGCGCAGGGAUGAAUCUGGUGCCAGAUACGGCCGUACGUGAAGUUUUUCGCGACUCCGAUGAUGAAUCGACCAUUCGGCAUGACUUGAGCGUUUCGUCGAGGAUUCCCUUUCUACCUUUACCGCGUAUCCAUUCCCCAUCCCAUGGAUCAUUCUCAACAACAAGGCUGUAAGAAAGAAAAUUAACGGACUGUUGCCCCUGGCAGAAAGCUGCCCAGGACAGAUAGUUCGCGACCUACUUGUACCACUGUUCGACAUAACUCAACGCGUUGUGUACGGUUGAAAAAGGUCUCGUUGGACAAAAAGACGGUCGACGAUAGAGCUCUACAGAACCAAAAUUCGUUUUACGAGUGUGUACAUUAUUGCAGGAAGUUCAAUAUUUCACCGGCAGCAAGCUAAAAUUUAAAAUAUCAUGACGGAUUGUUAUUCUCUGCAUCACAAGUGAUACUAUAUUUGACAAUAAUAAAAUGCUAAAAUUGUUCCGUCUUAAAUAUAUUCAUGCGUGUAUAUAUAUUGAUAUACACUAAUUUGAUUUAAUAAAAACUAUCAUCUACUCGAGAUUAUGUGACUGCAAUCGUGAUGUAACGUGCACGUGCAGAAUUGCCCAAAAAAUUUAACCGCUUAGGAUCUAUUAUUUUUAUUUCUUCCUGUGCAACAUCGUCUGCUCUAGUGAACCCAAUUUAUAAGUUGUUUUUAUAUAUGAACAGCUCAUUCAGCCGAAAAUGCGAAAAUCACCUCUUUUUCUAAAAAAAAAUUCUGUUGUUUUCAGGGUAGAGCUUCUAGUGUGAAUUUUUUUCGCGUGAAUCAAAGAUGUAGUUAGAUUCUGCAUUCUAGUCUCCAUGAUGGCAUACGUAUUGAAAUGGACCUAGGUCCUUUUAACUCUCACUGUUUUAAGUUUUACGUUGGGUAUGAUUGUUAAACUUUCCAUCCGACGGCUAACUUCUAGCGCGAAAUGAGGUCUGUCUGUGCCCUUUGUGAUAACUUGUUAUCAUAGGUCCAUUAUGUGGAAUUAAUUUGGAUCUAAUAGAUGCCCAUACAUUUCUACAUCUUUGAGAUGACUUAGAAGAUGACAUUAAUCUCAAUAAAUAUUUUGGAUAUAAAUAAAAAGUUCGAACUUUUUCGUGGACUAAAUGGUUUAAAACCUUGACUUUUUAAAAAAGAAUCAAUAUUUGUUACAUAUAUCAGCACCAUUAUCAUAACUUUUCACUAUUAUUCACUAUUUCAUCUAAAGUAACUAAUUGAUGAGCCUCUGGUAUAAAUUUUAUUUUACAUUUCAAUGCUUUAAA